CCUACGGGAGGCAGCAGUGGGGAAUAUUGGACAAUGGGCGCAAGCCUGAUCCAGCCAUGCCGCGUGAGUGAUGAAGGCCUUAGGGUUGUACAGCUCUUUUGUCCGGGACGAUAAUGACGGUACCGGAAGAAUAAGCCCCGGCUAACUUCGUGCCAGCAGCCGCGGUAAUACGAAGGGGGCUAGCGUUGCUCGGAAUCACUGGGCGUAAAGGGCGCGUAGGCGGCCAUUUAAGUCGGGGGUGAAAGCCUGUGGCUCAACCACAGAAUUGCCUUCGAUACUGGGUGGCUUGAGUCCGGAAGAGGUUGGUGGAACUGCGAGUGUAGAGGUGAAAUUCGUAGAUAUUCGCAAGAACACCGGUGGCGAAGGCGGCCAACUGGUCCGGAACUGACGCUGAGGCGCGAAAGCGUGGGGAGCAAACAGGAUUAGAUACCCCUGUAGUC
rnacentral:rRNA from 1 species